GUCCUUAGUUACCAGCACGUUAUGGUGGGCACUCUAAGGAGACUGCCGGUGACAACCGGAGGAAGGUGGGGAUGACGUCAAGUCAUCAUGGCCCUUACGGCCUGGGCUACACACGUGCUACAAUGGUCGGUACAAAGGGUUGCCAAGCCGCGAGGUGGAGCUAAUCCCAUAAAACCGAAUCGUAGUCCGGAUCGCAGUCUGCAACUCGACUGCGUGAAGUCGGAAUCGCUAGUAAUCGUGAAUCAGAAUGUCACGGUGAAUACGUUCCCGGGCCUU
rnacentral:rRNA from 1 species